GAUGGACGCUGGCGGCGUGCCUAAUACAUGCAAGUCGAGCGAACAGACGAGGAGCUUGCUCCUUCGACGUUAGCGGCGGACGGGUGAGUAACACGUAGGUAACCUACCUAUAAGACUGGGAUAACUUCGGGAAACCGGAGCUAAUACCGGAUAAUAUUUCGAACCGCAUGGUUCGAUAGUGAAAGAUGGCUUUGCUAUCACUUAUAGAUGGACCUGCGCCGUAUUAGCUAGUUGGUAAGGUAACGGCUUACCAAGGCAACGAUACGUAGCCGACCUGAGAGGGUGAUCGGCCACACUGGAACUGAGACACGGUCCAGACUCCUACGGGAGGCAGCAGUAGGGAAUCUUCCGCAAUGGGCGAAAGCCUGACGGAGCAACGCCGCGUGAGUGAUGAAGGUCUUCGGAUCGUAAAACUCUGUUAUUAGGGAAGAACAAACGUGUAAGUAACUGUGCACGUCUUGGCGGUACCUAAUCAGAAAGCCACGGCUAACUACGUG
rnacentral:rRNA from 1 species